CAGAGGGGGCUAGCGUUGUUCGGAAUUACUGGGCGUAAAGGGCGCGUAGGCGGCCCGCUAAGUCGAACGUGAAAUCCCCGGGCACAACCCGGGAACUGCGUCCGAUACUGGCGGGCUUGAAUCCGGGAGAGGGAUGUGGAAUUCCAGGUGUAGCGGUGAAAUGCGUAGACAUCUGGAGGAACACCGGUGGCGAAGGCGGCAUCCUGGACCGGUAUUGACGCUGAGGCGCGAAAGCCAGGGGAGCAAACGGGAUUAGAUACCCCGGUAGUCCUGGCCCUAAACGAUGAAUGCUUGGUGUGGCGGGUAUCGAUCCCUGCCGUGCCGAAGCUAACGCAUUAAGCAUUCCGCCUGGGGAGUACGGUCGCAAGGCUG
rnacentral:rRNA from 1 species